GUAGGGAAUAUUGGGCAAUGGAUGCAAGUCUGACCCAGCCAUCCCGCGUGCCGGAAGAAGGCCCCCAGGGUUGUAAACGGCUUUUGACGGUGAAGAAUCGACAGGAUGCGUCCUGUUUUGACGGUAGCCGUUGAAUAAGCACCGGCUAACUCCGUGCCAGCAGCCGCGGUAAUACGGAGGGUGCGAGCGUUGUCCGGAUUUAUUGGGUUUAAAGGGUGCGUAGGCUGGAAGGUCAGUCAGCGGUGAAAAGCUGUCGCUUAACGAUAGUCUUGCCGCAGAUACUUCCUUUCUUGGAUGAGGAGGAGGCCACUGGAACGGAUGGUGUAGCGGUGAAAUGCAUAGAUAGCAUCCAGAACACCGAUUGCGAAGGCAGGUGGCUGUACCUUAAUCGACGCUGAUGCACGAAAGCAUGGGGAGCAAACAGGAUUAGAAACCCUUGUAGUCC
rnacentral:rRNA from 1 species